rfam:Oryza sativa Japonica Group DNA, chromosome 7, cultivar: Nipponbare, complete sequence.
AAAAAAAUAAACCCUAGAUUUCCGUGUCCAAUGUUUGAUUGUCCGUAUUAUAUAAAUUUUUUUUAUAAUUAGUAUUUUCAUUAUUGUUAGAUGAUAAAACAUAGUUAAUACUUUAUGUGUGACUUGUCUUUUUAAUUUUUUUUCGUAAUUUUUUCAAAUAAGACGGACGGUCAAACGUUAGACACGGAAACGCGGGGUUUGUCUUUUU